AUUGAACGCUGGCGGCAUGCCUUACACAUGCAAGUCGAACGGUAACAGGUCUUCGGAUGCUGACGAGUGGCGAACGGGUGAGUAAUACAUCGGAACGUGCCUAGUAGUGGGGGAUAACUACUCGAAAGAGUGGCUAAUACCGCAUGAGAUCUACGGAUGAAAGCAGGGGAUCGCAAGACCUUGUGCUACUAGAGCGGCCGAUGGCAGAUUAGGUAGUUGGUGGGAUAAAAGCUUACCAAGCCGACGAUCUGUAGCUGGUCUGAGAGGACGAUCAGCCACACUGGGACUGAGACACGGCCCAGACUCCUACGGGAGGCAGCAGUGGGGAAUUUUGGACGAUGGGCGCAAGCCUGAUCCAGCAAUGCCGCGUGCAGGAUGGAGGCCUUCGGGUUGUAAACUGCUUUUGUACGGAACGAAAAGCCCUGGGUUAAUACCCUGGGGUCAUGACGGUACCGUAAGAAUAAGCACCGGCUAACUACGUGCCAGCCGCCGCCGUAAAAC
rnacentral:rRNA from 1 species